AUGGAGCCGAACGCCGCCGUUGAGGCCGACGCCGAGGACGACUACAUGGGGGACCUGUCCCACUUCCUCCCGCCGAGCCCCUCCUCUCCCACCAGGAGCCUCGGGGUCCGGAAGCAACCCCCCAAGCCGGCUCCGCCGGCGCGAGGGCAGGCGAAGCGCGCCAAGGGGCUGCCGUGGAAGGAGCGCCGGCGGCAGGAACGCGAGAGGAUCCAGAGAGAGGAGGAUGCCCGCACGUUGGCCGGGAUGGCGGAGGCCAUCCCGGAGAGCAACGUUGGGUUCAAGAUGUUGAAGCAGAUGGGAUACGACCCGGCCGCCCGCGGCGCCGGCACCGAGCCGGUCGGAAUCGAGAUCCGCCGCUCUCGGGCCGGACUCGGGGCGGAGCCAGAUGCUUCUGUGGCGCCGCUGCCGCAGCUAUCGGAGCCCAAGACGCGGGAGGAGGAAGAGAGGGAUAGGAAGCGGGAGGAGGAGAUGGUGGCGGAGCUGAGGUCGAGGAAGAGCACGCAAUGGAAGGGACGGAGGUUGGUGUGGGACUACCGCAAGGCUGAGGCGGCGCUCGCGCAGCUGGAAAACAGGGAGGUGGAGCCACCGGCCCCCGAUGGGGAGGAGAAGGAGAAGGGAGAAGAUGAAGAGGAAGAGGUGAUCACUGAAGAGGGUUUACAAACCAUAUUGGAUAAGCUGCGUGUUCAACACCACUAUUGCCUUUACUGUGGAUGCAAGUUUGAAUCAGCAGGAGCACUGGCAAAUGAAUGCCCUGGGCCUAAUGAAGAUGAUCACUGA
rnacentral:rRNA from 1 species